rnacentral:rRNA from 1 species
UACGGGGGGGGCAAGCGUUGUUCGGAAUUACUGGGCGUAAAGGGCUCGUAGGUGGCCAACUAAGUCAGACGUGAAAUCCCUCGGCUUAACCGGGGAACUGCGUCUGAUACUGGAUGGCUUGAGUGUGGGAGAGGGAUGCGGAAUUCCAGGUGUAGCGGUGAAAUGCGUAGAUAUCCGGAGGAACACCGGUGGCGAAGGCGGCUUCCUGGACCGACACUGACGCUGAGGCGCGAAAGCUAGGGGAGCGAACAGG